ACAUGGUCACUCCCGCUGUCCCGCAGCGGCCCGUGACUCAGUUCCACUUCCACCUAUGUUCCCCCUCGUUUGGUUAUCCGGAGGAGCAUGCUAGGCGGCAGGGGAGGCGCAUUCAUUGGAGGUUAAUCAUGGAGAUGGCACGGAUCUGAGCGGAGGAGUGAGUUGCUGGUCUAGAGGCGGAGGGGAAUCUCCGGCAGGUCUGGGCCUACGGCACCGGCACGAGCACUGCCGGCGGUGCUAUCCCGCGCGGGGUACCCGGGAGCGCAUCGCCGCUGGUUAUCUCCUGCGCCGGCGGUGUUGUGCGGAUCCACCAAGGUCAUAACAAGCAUAUGGAGAAGGAAGGGAGCUGAGUAGCUGCAUCGGUUGCUGGAUUGGGAAGAGGAGGGGAAACAUCAGAUUCCGGCGGAGCGGCAGGCGGACAUAGAAGUGCACCGCCAACGAGGAGAUCAGCAGCCGGUGGGUGUUCUCUGGAGCCAUCAGGUAAAUCUAUGUUUCAUUAACUUUGGGGGCGAACCCUAUAUUGCAGUUUGGGGAUUUUUAAGUUGCAGGUGCCACUGCCACCGCCGGCUAGAUUUGUAUUGUCUGGCGCAGAUCCUGGAGUUGACUAGCCCUUAUGUAUCUUCUAUGUAGCCAGAGUUCAAGUGCAUCUUGCAGCGGCAUCAUGCAGGAUUCAGGCACACCAUGGCAUUUCCUGUCGAAAUACUGACAGUCUGAAUUCGACAAUAUGUAAAGCUCAUCAAUUCAUAAGGGCUAUUAACAGACUAAGUUUGACCAGCGCCGGCGGUGAGCAGAUGCGAGUGAACUUUGCGAAGAAGGUGAUCUGACUUGACCGCGCCAUUGCUAUAUUCGACUCUGGAUACAAAUCUUGUACAGCUUGACGGGAGGCAGAGAGCAGACCAGAGUCAGUCCAACCUGGAUAAUCAUGCAGGUACUGUAUUCUUGCCCCAGUAUCAGUCGCAGUGUACAUGGGCUUGGUUGUGAAAGCUCUUGGCGCCGAUGACUAGACUUUGCAGAUUGCAUCUCUGAUGUGCAAAGUACAACCAUGUACUCCUUGGAUGCAAGAUACUACAACAUUGGUUGUUUUUGUUCAGUGGAGAGUGCGACACGAUUGAUGAUGUGUGUAGCACGAUUGCGACAAUACCUCCAUGUCCAUCUAUUCUAAUGUUUAUGGAAAUUAUACUGAUUUGAAGGUUGUUGGCUAUAAUCGGGAUUUAGGGGCUUAACAUGUCAGCAGUAUCGUACUUGAAGUACCACAAAAAUGCAUGUUUCAUCGUAUCUGCCAGCGGCUCCGUUUAUGCUAUUCACGGCAUAUUGUUGAUUUAUCUCUGUUUCGUUUUUGCUCAGAAUUACAGCAAAAUCAACAAACUGCCCACGACCUUGUAUUAAAACUGCCCACGAUACCUGAAGAACACGAAUCAGACAGGGGAGAUGGCUACAUAUAAUGGUCCUGCUUACUGAUGUUCAGUACAUUUUCGUUCUUCACUAUGUGAAAUAAGCAGAAAAGGGUGAAACUGAUUAUUAUAAACUGAAAUAUUUCUACAUAUUCU